UACGUAGGGCGCAAGCGUUGUCCGGAAUUAUUGGGCGUAAAGAGCUCGUAGGCGGCCUGUCGCGUCUGCUGUGAAAUCCCGGGCUCAACCCGGGCCUGCAGUGGAUACGGGCUGGCUGGAGGCAGGCAGGGGAGGAACGGAAGUUCCUGGAUGUAGCGGUGAAAUGACGCAGAUAUCAGGAGGAACACCGGUGGCGAAGGCGGUUCUCUGGGCCUGUUCUGACGCUGAGGAGCGAAAGCGUGGGGAGCGAACAGG
rnacentral:rRNA from 1 species